AACAAACGCUGGCGGCGUGCCUAAUACAUGCAAGUCGAACGGGGAAAGCUUUCGGGUGAGUACUAGUGGCGCACGGGUGAGGAACGCGUGGGUAAUUUUCCUUGAAGCGGGGGAUAACUAGUCGAAAGAUUAGCUAAUACCGCAUAAGACCACGCAAUCUGAGGAUUUUGAGGUAAAAGGUUUUUCGCUUCAAGAUAAGCCCGCGUAAGAUUAGCUAGUUGGUGAGGUAAUGGCUCACCAAGGCAACGAUCUUUAGCUGGUCUGAGAGGAUGAUCAGCCACACUGGAACUGGGACACGGUCCAGACUCCUACGGGAGGCAGCAGUAGGGAAUAUUGCACAAUGGAGGAAACUCUGAUGCAGCGACGCCGCGUGAGUGAUGAAGGACUUCGGUUCGUAAAGCUCUGUCGCAUGGGAAUAAUAAAUGAAGGUACCAUGCAAGAAAGGAUCGGCUAACUUCGUGCCAGCCGCCGCGGUAAGAC
rnacentral:rRNA from 1 species